UGGGGAAUAUUGCACAAUGGGCGAAAGCCUGAUGCAGCAACGCCGCGUGAGUGAUGAAGGUCUUCGGAUUGUAAAGCUCUGUCUUUUGGGACGAUAAUGACGGUACCAAAGGAGGAAGCCACGGCUAACUACGUGCCAGCAGCCGCGGUAAUACGUAGGUGGCGAGCGUUGUCCGGAUUUACUGGGCGUAAAGGGUGCGUAGGCGGAUGUUUAAGUGAGAUGUGAAAUACCCGGGCUUAACUUGGGUGCUGCAUUUCAAACUGGAUAUCUAGAGUGCAGGAGAGGAGAAUGGAAUUCCUAGUGUAGCGGUGAAAUGCGUAGAGAUUAGGAAGAACACCAGUGGCGAAGGCGAUUCUCUGGACCGUAACUGACGCUGAGGCACGAAAGCGUGGGUAGCAAACAGGAUUAGAUACCCUGGUAGUCCACGCCGUAAACGAUGAGUACUAGGUGUAGGAGGUAUCGACCCCUUCUGUGCCGCAGUAAACACAUUAAGUACUCCGCCUGGGAAGUACGAUCGCAAGAUUAAAAC
rnacentral:rRNA from 1 species